GGAAAGGAAGACUCACUGAGAUGGCGGGGCAAGCCCUUACCCACCUCUUUGCUAAAUGUUUGUUAAUCAGAGAGAAAGGAAGGGUUGCUCCUUCAUCUCACAUCUUCAUCUCUGGAGG
rnacentral:precursor_RNA from 12 species